rnacentral:misc_RNA from 1 species
GUAGGUGAACCUGCGGAAGGAUCAUUAACACGUGAUACACGUCCUCCAAUAUCAACCAACCUCGACGAACCUGUGUCUCAAAUCUUUUGGGUUACUUCUGUCUUCUUCGGAAGGUCAGACUUAUCCUUUGCUGUCAGCCCUCUCAUGGAACUUCGUGUGUCUGUAAUGGUUGAUGGACAAGGGACCUUGAGUGUCCCCUCGGGGAAGCCAUCUUUAGUAGGGUGUCUAUUCAGCACGCAUACGAUCCCGG